rnacentral:rRNA from 1 species
UACAGAGGUCUCAAGCGUUGUUCGGAUUCAUUGGGCGUAAAGGGCGCGUAGGCGGCCCUUCUUGUCGCGUGUGAAAGCCCCGGGCUCAACCUGGGAACGGCGCGCGAGACGGGAGGGCUGGAGUUCGGGAGAGGAGCGUGGAAUUCCCAGUGUAGAGGUGAAAUUCGUAGAUAUUCGGAGGAACACCAGUGGCGAAGGCGGCUCGCUGGCUCGAUACUGACGCUGAGGUGCGAAAGCGUGGGGAGCAAACAGG